UACGGGGGGGGCAAGCGUUGUUCGGAAUUACUGGGCGUAAAGGGCUCGUAGGCGGCCAACUAAGUCAUACGUGAAAUCCCUCGGCUUAACCGGGGAACUGCGUCUGAUACUGGAUGGCUUGAGUUCGGGAGAGGGAUGCGGAAUUCCAGGUGUAGCGGUGAAAUGCGUAGAUAUCAGGAGGAACACCGAUGGCGAAGGCAGGUCUCUGGGCCAUAACUGACGCUGAGAAGCGAAAGCAUGGGGAGCGAACAGG
rnacentral:rRNA from 1 species